CCCCCCCCCUUUCUUUUGGUUGGAUUAUUUUUCAUUUGAUGUAUAAUUUCAGAUAUUUGUUGAAAGCCCAGAUGCUAAAACUUCAAUUUCGAUUUUAUUUUUAUUAUUAUUAUUUGGUUUUGGAUUUAUAGGUACUUUCAAUUCUGGGAUUAUUCUACUUUCUGAAUCACUGAAUUGAUUUUAGCCCCUAAAAAGCAUAUAUUUUUAAGAACCGGGAUAGUGCUUGAUUUUGACUUUGAUCCUUUACUUGAAGAUUCAUUUUAGAUCUUUAUUUAGUUGGAAUACUGCUGAGAGAUUGUGUUACUUAAAUCUCCCUUGCAAACCCUUUUUUCUCUUCUAUUUGACGCGUAAGGUUUGCUUUAUUUGGAUGUGAAAUCUGUUUGAAGAUCUAACUAAAACUCAUGUUUUUGAGUGAUUUUUUUGUUUGUUUGUUUGUUUUAUCACAGAACUUUUUUCACUACUGGGAAAGAAUACUUGGGCAAUGAUUUCAAUUCCAUGUCAACUUUAUUUUGUUGAGUUGUGAAGAAUUUGUGUUUGAUUAUAUCUAGUUGAGUAUCUUCAGAAAACCCAAUUUGUAGAUUUGAGGCUUUUUUUUAUCUUUAUUGACAAUGGAGCACCUACCAGUUGAAGUCAUUGGAAACAUUUUGUCUCGGCUUGGAGGUGCCCGGGAUGUCGUGAUAGCCUCUGCAACAUGUCGGAAAUGGCGAGAAGCUUCUCGGAAACACCUUCACACCCUAGCAUUUAACUCUAAUGAUUUGCCUCCUUAUCGUGAUAUUACCCCUAAACAAUUAGAGAUCCUGAUUACUCAAACAAUAUUCCAAACUACAGGAUUGCAAGGCCUAUCAAUUUUGAUGGAUGAUGUUGAUGAGUUCUCGGCUUCUACUGUUAUUGCAUGGCUCAUGUAUACAAGGGAAACCUUGCGUCGGUUGUUUUAUAAUGUACGGACUAGUCCGAAUGUUAACAUUCUUGAAAUUUGUGGGAGGCAAAAGCUGGAAACAUUGGCACUAGCCCACAAUUCAAUAACAGGGGUUGAACCUAAUUUUCAGAGAUUCCCUUGUUUGAAGUCUCUCUCUUUGAGUCAUGUUAGUAUUUCGGCUUUGGAUUUGAGCCUUUUACUCACUGCAUGUCCGAAACUUGAGAGCCUAGAACUUGUCAAUCUGGAGAUUGCAAUGUCAGAUGCACAAGUGACUGUAGAGUUGAGCUGCCCCACAUUAAAGAGUAUUUACGUCGAAGCAAUUAGUUUGGAUAAAUUUAUGCUGGAGGCCGACAGUAUCGAGCGUUUGCACUUGAGGGAUUGUGCCCUUGAACUUUUUGAACUGAUUGGGAUAGGCACUUUAAAAUAUUUCAAGAUUGAUGAUGUUAGCGUGAUACAUCUUGACAUUGGAGAGACUAUCGAUAAUCUUGAGGUUGUUGAUGUCAGUAACUUCACAAUCAUCUGGCCAAAGUUCUACCAGAUGAUUUCAAGAUCCUCAAAAUUAAGGAAGCUUCGGCUUUGGGAUGUGGCCUUUGAUGAUGAAGAUGAGGUUGUGGAUUUGGAAACAAUUGCUGUAUGUUUUCCACGGUUGAAACAUCUAGCAUUAAGUUACGAAUUGAGAGAUGGUGUCAUGCAUUAUGGUCUCCAAGGGUCUUCUAAUUUGGAGAACGUGAUGGUGCUGGAGCUCGGAUGGACUGUAAUUAAUGAUCUCUUCUCGCAUUGGGUUGAGGAGCUGCUAAAACGGUGCCCAAAUCUUAGAAAAAUGAUUAUUUUUGGGUCUGUCUCUGAAGUCAAGUCGCAUGAAGAAUGCCAGAUAUUGGCCAAUUUCACCUCAUCUAUUGUUCAGCUGAUGAGGAAAUAUAUGAAUGUAGAGGUGCACUUUGAAUUUGAGUAAAUUCGCUCAAUUGCAUUGUUAACUUCAAGUUUUGGUUCGGUUAUGAAUUAUAUGAGCAGAUUUGCAGACUCGACUGCUCGAAGGAUGCUGUUGAGUUUGACAACAACUCUACACAAGCAUGCACGCACAGGAAUGCAUGAACGUGUAUUGGAGAAAGAGAGGAAAUCGAUGGGCAACGCGAGACGACAUUGAUGGUAAAUUUUACAUUGUCUCCAGGUUUGGGGUUGCCUCUUGAAUACUGGCUGCACCGGAAUGGAAAGAAACUUACAGUGGUUCCUCACUUCUCUCUGUCUCCUCUUUGUGUCCGACUUUCUUGAUGUGCAUAAUAUAUGAAUACUGAGUAGUUCAAUUUGUUAUCUAUACUCCAUUGUCUUCCUUUUUUGGUGGGCAGUAUUAGAUGGAAUGACUUUUAAUGUUGAAGUUGGAUUCAGUAUUACUACUAUUGUGGUUUGAAUAGUUCGUUUUUGACUUUUAAGCGCUUCCUAACAUUAAGUAUCAAGUUGAAAUACAAUCCAUCUUGUAUGGAAUGA